CAUGGAAUGCCAUAAAGAUGAAAGACACAAUUGAAUUUUGUAAACCAAAGGUGGCUUCAAGCAAGCCUUCAAUGGCUCCACUAUGCUCGCAAUGUGGGAAGUCAUUCAAACCCGAGAAGAUGCAUUCACACAUGAAGUCGUGUCUAAGAAUGAAGAGUUCAUUGUCGAAGGAUGAUGAUUUGAUGACGGGAAAUAAUACCAUUAAACCGAACCAGCAACGCUGCAGAAACAUUUCGGGAGAUCCAUCAGGACAUAAACGUGUAGUGAGAGCAACUCUCAAAACUGAUGAAGCUUAGCUAUGAUUGAUUAUCUAGCUGUGAUAUGUGAAUGGAUGCAGACGGGUAAAAUUUUCACUAGUUCAGUGAAGUUCAGUUUGAUGAAGCAGUGCCGUGCGAAGGUUUUCGGAGGUCCGAGGCGAGUUUAAAAAUAUAUUUUACAUGAUAUAUUUUUAAUAAUAUAUAUAUAUAUAUAUAACACUCAAAAGUUUUGAAUUAUUACAUAAACGUUUUCCAAAUUUUCUUCACCAAAAUUUUAUAAAAUAAAAAUUUUAAAUAUGAACAAUAAAUAUGAAUUUGUAAUAUAAAUACAAAGAUAUAAAUUGUUGAUUGAAAUGUUGGUAGCUGUCAAAAAUGUAAAUCUUAGCAUUUAAAUUAACUAUACUAAACUAUAUAUUAAAAAUAUUAUAUUUUCUUUAUCAAAUUCUCAUAAAUAUAUAAAAUAAAUUUAACUCAUAGCAUAUAAAAGAAAAGACCAAUGUGAUAAAAUAUUUACAGUUUUUUAGAAGUAGAAUCUUUAUAGUUUAUUUAAAAUAUAGCAAAAAUGAUCACAAACCUAGUUAAUUUAAACAGAAGUCUAAUUUAAAUUCAAAUAUAAAUAAAAAUCUAACUACGAGAAUAUGUUAACUACCAUGUAAAAGUAUUUUUUUUGUAAUUUAGGACCCUAAAAUUUCUACAAAAUUUGGAGACCCUAGGCAAAUGUCUUUUUCAAAAGCCUCUAAACACGACUUUGGAUGAAGCGCACAAAUUGUUAGAAUAUCAUGAGGUCUUUGGCAUAAAGUGGUUUUGGGUAAUCUAACUGAAGGUUUUAGAAGCUAAUUGAUCACAAUUUGAACAUUUAUGUCUUAAUGACUCAUUAUUUGAUAUAAUGCAAACAGAAAUUUAUUUCGUUCACGUUUUAAAACCUUUAUAUAUACGGUUAUAUCUUACGUACGCGCGCACGUAUGUUCAUGCCAUCAUGUGCGUCAGUGCAUGCAUGUUACUUAUAUUGAUACAUUAGGUUGAGAAUAAUUAAGCACAUGAACUAAAUAAAUACAACAUGAUCUUUGUCGUUUUGUUUUCGAAGAUAAAAUCUUGAAUUUUCAUUCUGUUUCUAGUACAUAUCAUUUUGUCUACAAUAUUUUUAAUCAAAAACUCCACGUCUGCUUUGACCAGAUAAGAUUGAAAGUUCUAAUGGAAAUUUAAGGCCUCUAUAAACUAUAUUAUAAUUUUAUUUCGUUACUUCGACGUUCUUGCCUCUGGUCAAAUAUGGCUCGCUCUUGUGUCAAGCCCUAUUUAAACAAGUGACUUUGCCUGAAAAAACUUAAAUCUCUAACUCAUCGAUCCAUCUUAAGACAAGAACAACAAUAACAAAGUCAACGGUGCAGUAUAGAAUUCUUGUGUGACUCUUAAUAUCAUUAAUGGAAGGAAGCUUGGAAGGUAUGCUGAUGAAAGUGAGCAUUUUCGCUAUGGUUCAAGCUCUUGUAUAUCUUAUUCUCUCUACAUCUUCGAGUGUUUUCUCUAAGUCAAACACGAUGAAGAGACUUCAUAGUUUCCGGUCAGCGAAAUCCACGAGCAUCAGCCGGAUUUUGGCGGUUCUUCAGGAUAUGCCUGCAGGCGGCGAGAUGUCUCCUUCUUCCAUGAGACUCUCUUCUCUUGCUUCUCCUUCAUCGUCACCACUGGAAAGCUAAAUCACAAAACGUAUAUGAUUCAGUAGUUUCUGGUGAAUUAUGUUUGAAUAUUAUUUCUGCAUGUUAGAUAAUGUUCAAUUUCCUUUGUUUAUAAAUUUUUUUGUUUUCUUUUUUUUUUAUAAAGUUUAUUUGUAAUUUAAUCUCCAGUUUGAUUCAUGAUUGAUUAAGAAAACAAGAAAUGACGUGAGCCCAUGUUAAACAAGAGAAACAAAACGUCAGCGUGUUAGUUAAGUAUUCGUCACCAAAUAUUCAUCAUAUCUUUCGAACCGAUUUUCUAUGCUGUAUAUAUAUUAAUAUAUAUAUCUAUAUAUAUAUGAAUAAUGUUUUAUUUUGGCAACCAGAAAAUGAUGAUAGUUUAUUUAUAGCUGGUACCUCUUUAUAGAAAGCUACUUGUAUUAGGAGAAUAAAUGAUACUUAAGGAGAAUAAAUGACAGAGUAUAUACACUACUACUGGAAAUAUCUAGUGGGUAGAAAAGUUGUGCAUUUAUUCUUUAGUUUUAAUUAUCAGAAAGAAGAAAAUGUGUGAAUUACCUAGAAAGCCUAGAAUAAUAUCUCAGACCACUGUUCUUGACUAAUGACUACUAGUUGGAUUAGAUGAUACGCUAAAAGAAUAAAUGUUUUAAGAGUCGCUAUGAUCAUUUAUUUUAAUUUCUACUUAAGAUAUGAUCAUAUAUAGAUAAACACUUAUAUAGAAAUUUCUAAGGAAAAUCAAGUUUGAUGACACUGGAGUCCAACAAACACUUUUGCUCAAAAUUGAUGAGUCAUGAAUACAUCACGGGUAUGAAUGGUGACCAGGAAACGGCGAGGAAUAAUGUAUUCCCUAACGUUCCUUUAAAAAACAUCAUUCAUAAGGAAUAAUAAUUCUUUCUCAUUCUCUUUCGUUCCUUUUUUUUUGUAGAGAAUUAAAGAACAAAACUAUUCCUUGUUAAAAUUGAUAAAGAAUAUUAGAAUAACUAUUCUUUUCAUUCAUGCUAUUUUAUUUUCGUACAUUACUUUUUUAUUUGUUCCUCUUAUUUUUUGAAUGGUCACCAGUCAGAUCCAUUUCAUAUUAAAUCCCACUAUAUAAAAUGGACUAAUUUUGGAUGUUAUAAAGGAUGCCACAUGGGCAAAAUAUUCUCAACCACUCAUUGUGCCAAGUCACUGACGGAUUGGGCUUAAAAAAAAACCCAUGAAAUACGAUCGGGCUUCGUUUGCGCUUACUUAAUCUACGCCUCCGUGAUUUUGCGUGUGGGCCAGCUAAUUCAUUUUCCUCGCAGCCCAGCCCAUUAUAACAGAUGAGUUUUUGCUCACUCCUAAAGCUGUCCACAUAGGCAAAGUGGGUCCCACAAAGAAAAAUGAGUCUGCGUUUUGCAUUUUCGAUUUCGCGUGUAUUGAUUUACGAAAUGGGUUGAUUCACUGACUCUGAAGUGUGUUUUUGGACAAAGUGGCCCAGUAAAAUCAGAAUAAACAAUUACAACGAAAGCCACUUCUCUUCGUAGUCUUCCUCUUCGAUGUAGAUUAGGGUUUCAAUCUGUUCAGUCUCCUGUGAGAAAUCGAAAGCCGCUUCCGAGAUUAACUUAACAUCAAGAAUAACGACGAUCUCAUGAGCAUUAUCCUCCACCUACGAUACAAGAUGAGAGAAGAGCUUUUGACUGGAAACCAGAGAAACAAGAGCUUCCAAUUGCUCAGACUGUUUUUUAUGUGAUUUAUGGAAAACUUACGUAUUCAGAUGCUAGAACAAACUAUUCCCUUAAUGCUAUUAAAUUCUUAAAAAACACUUACUCUUUCGCUCAUUCAAAGAUUUCUAUUACAAACUUUUAUAGCAGGCAGCACCAUGAGAAACUGUUCUUUGAUAUGGAUCCAAACGUGAUCGGUUCAACGAGCUUAAAUCCAAAAAUAGUGGGAGGUAGGCAUGUUGACUCCCUGUUGUAUGAUAUUUCAUCUUCGGAGAACCCAACCUCAAGGACCCAUUUCUAUUUUGAUAGCGAGAGUAACAUAGGUUUCCAGGGGAGUGAAGAUGGGUCCGCCUCAACUGCUACAAAAUAUGGAGGGGUGAAGAAGAUUGUAUCAUUAACACUGUGAGAGCUGAAUUCUUAUGUAAUCAUUUCACCACCACAAGCUGCAGAGUUCUUGUGCACUGCGAAAGUUGACAGCAUUGAAAAAGCAAAUGGGUGGUGCUACUUCUCAUAAUCUAAAUGCUCCCGGAAACUUUAGCGUAGUUUCUCAUCGCUUACAUGCACAGCCUGUCAUGAUGCAAACAUUGUAGUUAUUGUUAGGUGCCAGGUUGAGAUGGUAACAGAUCACUCGAACUCUGUUCUGUUUGUGGUUUGGACGCUGAGAUGAACAAGCUUACCGAAGUCCCUGCCUCAUCACUGUCUCAGGACAUGGGCGCCGGAGUGGAAGACCCAGAGAGCAUAGCCUACCACAAUGCGUUGAAGAUAUCGUAGUGAGGAACUUAACAUUCCAGCUGAAGCUUUCGGAGUUUAAUUUCUCAGGAAAGCAGUUAUUCACCAAGUAGUCAUUCACCGUAUCCCGCAUUUUUUGUCGCAACCAACGUCCACCCCUCCCGCAGCACAAUGAGGUUAUGAUAACCCUGACGAUGAGAUGCCAUGAGCUGGAGCUGUGAAAAAAAAAGAUUCAUCCCAACGUUGAAAGCAGUUUAGCUGUCAACAGCAGUGACCCCAGUAAUUGUCAUGGUGGAAGGCCACCCAGGAGGAAAUACUGAACUAAACGAUAUCCAUGCUUUAUCUGACAUGUCUCCCGAAGAGUUUCAAGAGGCAGAUGGUGUGGAGUGUGCGCACUUCGAAGAAACCUCGCAAUGGGUUUGCUUCCCAUCCAAGGAAUGAAGUGUCCUCCACUGUUAAAUAGGGUUACAGCAGGUGAGGUUAGACAGAUGAAUAUAUUGAAACAACUUAUCUCAUAUUAUUUUUUGCUUUUUGCUUUUCAACACAAUUGUAAUUUGUAUUAACUAAUCAAGCCAUGGAUGUAUUUGACAUGUAAUGAGUUUAACCAUGUAGCUGAAUCGAUGAUUUCUAACCAUAAAGUUUUUGAGGGUCCAA